AAUAUUUCUCGACCUUUUAGCUAAGGUGUAAUAUUUGUCCUUAUUAGUUUAAUAUCUGAUAUGUGAACCAUAUGUUCACUCUAAUAUUAUUUUUUAUGGAUAUUAAAUAAGUUUGUGUGCCGUUGCAACACACGACCACUCACCUAGUAUAUUGUUUAAGCAUGGCCCGUACAAUUUGGUUGGCCUAGUGGCCU
rfam:Zea mays cultivar B73 chromosome 7, whole genome shotgun sequence.